GCUAUUAGCAAACUCGGCUAUGCUGUCAGCAGCGAAGUCUGCAGAGCUUUAACCCUCUGUCUGCCAACACAGACACAAGACACAAGAUGCAAGAGGUCUCAGUUUCAAGCAUCAGCUGUGAUUCAGGACAUCUCCAAAAGUGAUUCAGGAUGUCCAGUUGUCUACCAGCUGAAACCAAAAAAAGAGGAGAUUGGAACUCUGACAAGGAUG